GUCACAGGUACCUUCCUGAUACGUAGAGCCCAUCGAAUAGAAGGUGGUGUGACUUGGGAUUCUAAAAAGGAGACUCGGGGUUAGAAGGGGUGCGUGGUGUCAAGAAUGAACAAGAAACAUGCUGGACUCAGGAAGCCGGCUGGCCGCAGUGAAAUGGAGACUCUGGAGCACAGGCCGCGGGGCUGCAAGGCGCAACCUGAAGGCUUGCUCCGCUCUGGAAAGGCCCUGCUCCUCCUGGACGGUGUCUCUUCCCUUCCCGCCUCCCCUCGGAGGCUGCCUCCCCUCGGACAGGACCAGGAGCCCAUCCACCACCCAGGGAGCAGUGCGGCUUUGUGCUUAGGCCUCCGGGGAAGUGAGCUGUUUCCUUGAUGUCCUACAAAGAGGAUUAUUCACUUGGAAAAACAGAAGCUUGUCAAGCUGCCACAAUCGCCAGGGAAGAUUCCAUCUCUCUCUGAUGGAGAUAAAUGGAACGGGAGACGUGGGGCUGAAGAGCGGGGGCUGGCUGAAGGGAAUGAGGUGAGAAACAUCUUGGGUGGAGAUGAUAUUAGUCACACAUGUUAACCCUGCCUUAGGCUGGGAAUCCAGAAUUGAGAAAUGAACUCCACCAAGAUGGAAGGAUAAGAGGAGAUCCGUUCCAAACUCCCACUGGCCCCGCGGUGGGAAAUCAACACUGUCCCACGUCCUAAUCCCACUACCUACCUUCUGCCCCGCUAGAGUUGUCCACAAUCAAAGCCAUUUCUCCUUUUAACAUGGACAGAGGGUGGUGAUGUCUGCAAUAGCUCUGUGCCCUAAAGCUGCUCAGAAGGGAAUGCAGAGAAACCAGCGUGCUCUCUUGUUUUCACAUGGGACUACAUUCCCAUAGGGCAGCUUAGUUACUUAGGUAAGAUUCCCAGGACACUGCGCGAGGCCAGCCAGGCAUGACAAGAAAGGGCAAUACCCUGCCCCAUGGAAGGACCGUUCAAGGGAGGGAUUGGGCUGUCGAGUGGCUGGUGUGGAUAUCUGCACGUCAUGAUUUAUCCAGGACUGAGGGAGGACAGCAAAGGCCCCGCGGCUACUGGAAACCCCAUCAUGUCGCUGAGCACUGGGCUCCACUUUGCUACUCAUGGAUGGAGACAGCGCUUCCUACACGUGCCGUAGGAGCUUCCUGGGCAGAACAGAACAUGAUCGUGGAAACGAGUCUUCGCCAAGGCAGCGCAGAGGGCCGAGGGGUGGGGCGCACUAGAUGGCAUUGUGGGAGUGAAGAAUUUCAGGUCACUUGUCUCUGUUGGUUUAGCA
rnacentral:lncRNA from 1 species